rnacentral:rRNA from 1 species
UACGGGAGGCAGCAGUGGGGAAUAUUGCACAAUGGGCGCAAGCCUGAUGCAGCCAUGCCGCGUGUAUGAAGAAGGCCUUCGGGUUGUAAAGUACUUUCAGUCGUGAGGAAGGUGUUAAGGUUAAUAACCUUAGCAAUUGACGUUAGCGACAGAAGAAGCACCGGCUAACUCCGUGCCAGCAGCCGCGGUAAUACGGAGGGUGCGAGCGUUAAUCGGAAUUACUGGGCGUAAAGGGCACGCAGGCGGUUAAUUAAGUUGGAUGUGAAAUCCCCGGGCUUAACCUGGGAAUGGCAUUCAAGACUGGUUAGCUAGAGUCUUGUAGAGGGGGUAGAAUUCCAUGUGUAGCGGUGAAAUGCGUAGAGAUGUGGAGGAAUACCGGGUGGCGAAGGCGGGCCCCUGGGACAAAGACUGACGCUCAUGUGCGAAAAGCGUGGGGAGCGAAACAGGAUUAGAUACCAU